UCCUGACUGACCGAUAGUGAACCAGUACCGUGAGGGAAAGGCGAAAAGAACCCCGGCGAGGGGAGUGAAAAAGAACCUGAAACCGUGUACGUACAAGCAGUGGGAGCACGCUUAGGCGUGUGACUGCGUACCUUUUGUAUAAUGGGUCAGCGACUUAUAUUCUGUAGCAAGGUUAACCGAAUAGGGGAGCCGAAGGGAAACCGAGUCUUAACUGGGCGUUAAGUUGCAGGGUAUAGACCCGAAACCCGGUGAUCUAGCCAUGGGCAGGUUGAAGGUUGGGUAACACUAACUGGAGGACCGAACCGACUAAUGUUGAAAAAUUAGCGGAUGACUUGUGGCUGGGGGUGAAAGGCCAAUCAAACCGGGAGAUAGCUGGUUCUCCCCGAAAGCUAUUUAGGUAGCGCCUCGUGAAUUCAUCUCCGGGGGUAGAGCACUGUUUCGGCAAGGGGGUCAUCCCGACUUACCAACCCGAUGCAAACUGCGAAUACCGGAGAAUGUUAUCACGGGAGACACACGGCGGGUGCUAACGUCCGUCGUGAAGAGGGAAACAACCCAGACCGCCAGCUAAGGUCCCAAAGUCAUGGUUAAGUGGGAAACGAUGUGGGAAGGCCCAGACAGCCAGGAUGUUGGCUUAGAAGCAGCCAUCAUUUAAAGAAAGCGUAAUAGCUCACUGGUCGAGUCGGCCUGCGCGGAAGAUGUAACGGGGCUAAACCAUGCACCGAAGCUGCGGCAGCGAUGCUUAUGCGUUGUUGGGUAGGGGAGCGUUCUGUAAGCCUGCGAAGGUGUGCUGUGAGGCAUGCU
rnacentral:rRNA from 1 species